CACUUUCAAGCUAGGAUAAUCGAUUAUAGCUCAGAAAGGUUCAUAAUUUAUGCACUUUCAAGCUAGUAUAAUCGGUUAUAGCUCAGAAAGGUUCAUAAUUUAUGCACUUUCAAGCUAGUAUAAUCGAUUAUAGCUCAGAAAGGUUCAUAAUUUAUGCACUUUCAAGCUAGGCUAAUCGAUUAUAGCUCAGAAAGGUUCAUAAUUUAUGCACUUUCAGGCUAGGCUAAUCGAUUAUAGCUCAGAAAGGUUCAUAAUUUAUGCACUUUCAAGCUAGGAUAAUCGAUUAUAGCUCAGAAAGGUUCAUAAUUUAUGCACUUUCAAGCUAGGCUAAUCGUUUAUAGCUCAGAAAGGUUCAUAAUUUAUGCACUUUCAGGCUAGGCUAAUCGAUUAUAGCUCAGAAAGGUUCAUAAUUUAUGCACUUUCAAGCUAGGAUAAUCGAUUAUAGCUCAGAAAGGUUCAUAAUUUAUGCACUUUCAAGCUAGGCUAAUCGUUUAUAGCUCAGAAAGGUUCAUAAUUUAUGCACUUUCAAGCUAGGCUAAUCGAUUAUAGCUCAGAAAGGUUCAUAAUUUAUGCACUUUCAGGCUAGGCUAAUCGAUUAUAGCUCAGAAAGGUUCAUAAUUUAUGCACUUUCAAGCUAGGCUAAUCGAUUAUAGCUCAGAAAGGUUCAUAAUUUAUGCACUUUCAGGCUAGGCUAAUCGAUUAUAGCUCAGAAAGGUUCAUAAUUUAUGCACUUUCAGGCUAGGCUAAUCGAUUAUAGCUCAGAAAGGUUCAUAAUUUAUGCACUUUCAGGCUAGGCUAAUCGAUUAUAGCUCAGAAAGGUUCAUAAUUUAUGCACUUUCAAGCUAGGCUAAUCGAUUAUAGCUCAGAAAGGUUCAUAAUUUAUGCACUUUCAAGCUAGGCUAAUCGGUUAUAGCUCAGAAAGGUUCAUAAUUUAUGCACUUUCAAGCUAGGCUAAUCGGUUAUAGCUCAGAAAGGUUCAUAAUUUAUGCACUUUCAAGCUAGGAUAAUCGAUUAUAGCUCAGAAAGGUUCAUAAUUUAUGCACUUUCAAGCUAGGCUAAUCGGUUAUAGCUCAGAAAGGUUCAUAAUUUAUGCACUUUCAAGCUAGGAUAAUCGAUUAUAGCUCAGAAAGGUUCAUAAUUUAUGCACUUUCAAGCUAGGAUAAUCGAUUAUAGCUCAGAAAGGUUCAUAAUUUAUGCACUUUCAAGCUAGGAUAAUCGAUUAUAGCUCAGAAAGGUUCAUAAUUUAUGCACUUUCAAGCUAGGCUAAUCGGUUAUAGCUCAGAAAGGUUCAUAAUUUAUGCACUUUCAAGCUAGGCUAAUCGAUUAUAGCUCAGAAAGGUUCAUAAUUUAUGCACUUUCAAGCUAGGCUAAUCGAUUAUAGCUCAGAAAGGUUCAUAAUUUAUGCACUUUCAAGCUAGGCUAAUCGAUUAUAGCUCAGAAAGGUUCAUAAUUUAUGCACUUUAGGCUAGGCUAAUCGAUUAUAGCUCAGAAAGGUUCAUAAUUUAUGCACUUUCAAGCUAGGCUAAUCGUUUAUAGCUCAGAAAGGUUCAUAAUUUAUACACUUUCAAGCUAGGAUAAUCGAUUAUAGCUCAGAAAGGUUCAUAAUUUAUGCACUUUCAAGCUAGGCUAAUCGAUUAUAGCUCAGAAAGGUUCAUAAUUUAUGCACUUUCAAGCUAGGCUAAUCGAUUAUAGCUCAGAAAGGUUCAUAAUUUAUGCACUUUCAAGCUAGGCUAAUCGGUUAUAGCUCAGAAAGGUUCAUAAUUUAUGCACUUUCAGGCUAGGAUAAUCGAUUAUAGCUCAGAAAGGUUCAUAAUUUAUGCACUUUCAAGCUAGGCUAAUCGGUUAUAGCUCAGAAAGGUUCAUAAUUUAUGCACUUUCAGGCUAGGAUAAUCGAUUAUAGCUCAGAAAGGUUCAUAAUUUAUGCACUUUCAAGCUAGGCUAAUCGAUUAUAGCUAUAAGCAUACAACUACAUUCUCGGCUAAGUAAAUUAAUUUACUAAAUUUUUUACCGGCUGAUUCCUUACAUUAAUAUGGCAUUAUUACUUUUGUAAGGAAUCAAUAGUUAGUUAAUUUUUUCCAGUCCGAAUCAUAUUAGAACAAAUCUAAAUUAAAUUUAUUAUUUUUUUUUUACUAAAUUCAGAUUACAAAAAUAAAUCAAGUCCGAUAAAUAUAUGGCUUUAGACCCUAAAUAUAAAUAUUUGUUACCAUACUAUUUCUAAUAACAGAAAUAUUUUCAGUCUAAUACUUAAACUUAUACUUGACAAAUACUAAUUGUCGCCUAGAAUAUCAAAAAUUCUUGUACAUCAAUACUUAAGCAUAAAAAGAUAAGCUAAGUUAAGCUAAUGGGCUCAUACCCCAUUUAUAAAGGUUAAUCCUUUUCUUUUUAAUAAUCCAUAUAAAUAAAAUUAUAUUCUAUUCUACCUUAAUAAUAGGUUCACUAAUAGCUAUCUCAAGAAUUUCAUGAUUAACAGUGUGAAUUGGCCUUGAAAUAAAUUUAUUAAGAAUUAUACCUAUUAUAAAAACAAAAAUAAAAAAUACUUCAGAAGCCAUAAUUAAAUAUUUUAUAAUCCAAUCUAUAGCAUCUGCCUCAUUACUCUUUUCAGUCAUAAUUUUUAAUACAACUAAAGACCCAAGAUUAAUUAAUUCAGCGUACCUCUUACUAAAUUCAGCCCUAUUUAUAAAAAUAGGCGCUGCACCCUUCCAUUUCUGGUAUCCAGAAAUUUUAAGUGGAAUAUCUUGAGAGAAUAAUUUCAUUAUACUAACCUGGCAAAAAAUUGCCCCUAUAAUUUUAAUUAUUAACUCAUGAUUUUCUACAAUUUUUGUAUCCCUAUUUAUCAUUUUUUCUGCAAUUAUGGGAAGAGUACAAGGAUUUAAUCAAAUCUGCCUUCGAAAAAUCAUAGCCUAUUCAUCAAUUAACCAUAUUGGUUGGAUACUAGCUGCACUCUUCUCUUCACAUACAAUCUGAUUAAUUUACUUCUUAAUUUACAGAUUAAUUAAUAUAAAUAUUAUUUUAAUCUUUCAAAAAUUUAAUAUUUUUUAUUUUAACCAAAUUAAUAGAAUUUUCUCAUUUAAUUUAAAAAUAAAAUUUAUUUAUAUAAUAAAUUUUCUAUCUCUGGCAGGUUUACCACCAUUCCUAGGAUUUAUCCCUAAAUGAUUAGUCAUUAAUUUCCUUGUUCUAAAUAAUUUUUACACUUUAAGAAUAAUUUUAAUUCUAUUUACCCUUGUAGCUAUAUACAUAUAUUUCCGUUUAACCUUUUCUACCUUUUCUCUAUUUUAUAAAAAAAAUAUUCUAUCAACUUAUAUAAAAACUAACUACUUAAUUUUUUUUAUUAAUUUUAUUAGAUUAAUAGGCGGAAUAAUCCAAAUUAUAUCUUUUAACUUUAUUUAAAAAAUUUAAGUUAACUAAACUAUUGACCUUCAAAGUCAAAAAUAGAAUUUAUAAUUCUAAUUUUUAAACUAUAAAAUUUUAAUUUAUCCUUAAAUUUGCAAUUUAAUAUCUUUUUUAGACUAUAUAGUUUGGUAAAAGAAAUUACUUUCGUUUAUAAAUUUACAAUUUAUCGCCUAUCACUCAGCCAUUUUACCGAAUAAAUGGUUAUACUCCACAAAUCAUAAAGACAUUGGAACACUUUACUUUAUUUUUGGUGCAUGGUCUGGAGCUAUAGGGACUUCUUUAAGUAUACUAAUUCGAACCGAACUAGGAAACCCAGGAAGAUUAAUUGGGGAUGAUCAAAUCUAUAAUACUAUUGUAACAGCCCAUGCUUUUAUUAUAAUUUUUUUUAUAGUUAUACCAAUUAUAAUUGGGGGAUUCGGAAACUGACUUGUCCCACUUAUACUAGCAGCUCCCGAUAUAGCUUUUCCACGCCUUAACAAUAUAAGAUUUUGGCUAUUACCCCCAUCUUUAACCCUUUUAAUUUUAAGAAGAAUUGUAAGAAAAGGAACUGGAACAGGAUGAACAGUUUACCCCCCACUCUCUUCUAAUUUA